CUGGAUCACACGCAGACUAUCCUCUGCUCUCUCGUUCCAUUUAUGGCGCUUAAUACUUUCUUCUUUGACAGCUUGUUUCAGUUUAUCAAAGAUAUCAUCAUGCUCUUUUCCUUUUUGUUCUGUCAUGAAACGAGAAAACUCCUCUUGCAAAGUCUCCCACGCCACCUCUACUGCUUUAUUUGGCAGUUGCUUGUCAGUCCACUGCUUCAGUUUGAUGUCCACAGUGGUGUUAAAUGUCCCUGAGUUCAUUGUCUGUGCUGCUGGAAGGUAGAUAUUCUCAAUCACGUGAGUAGAUACCCUCUCCCAUAAUGUCUUCUGAAGAAUCUCC
rnacentral:lncRNA from 1 species